CCUACGGGAGGCAGCAGUGAGGAAUAUUGGUCAAUGGUCGGGAGACUGCACCAGCCCAGCCGCGUGAGGGAUGAAGGUACAGAGUAUCGUAAACCUCUUUUGUCAGGGAACACAGGCGGGGCCGCGUCCCCGGAUGAGUGUACCUGAAGCAAAAGCAUCGGCUAACUCCGUGCCAGCAGCCGCGGUAAUCCGGGGGCUGCGAGCGUUACCCGGGUUUCUUGGGUUUAACGGGUGCGCGGGCGCUCGGUUAAGUCACCGGUACAAUCCUGGGGCUAAACCCCGUCCCGCCGUUGAAACUGGCAGUCUCGAGUUGACGAGAAGUAUGCGGAAUGCGCGGUGUAGCGGGGAAAUGCAGAGAUAUCGCGCAGAACUCCGAUUGCGAAGGCAGCAUGCCGGCUCCACACUGACGCUGAGGCACGAAAGCGUGGGUAUCGAACAGGAUUAGAUACCCUUGUAGUC
rnacentral:rRNA from 1 species